rfam:Megaselia scalaris, Durham, NC isolate 2 -- Noor lab, WGS project CAQQ02000000 data, contig: ctg0000183622
CAACCGGUUCUUUUCAGAACCACAAAACUAUUCCUAAAAAGAGUUU